rnacentral:rRNA from 1 species
UGAACGCUGGCGGUAGGCCUAACACAUGCAAGUCGAACGGCAGCACAGUAAGAGCUUGCUCUUACGGGUGGCGAGUGGCGGACGGGUGAGGAAUACAUCGGAAUCUACUUUUUCGUGGGGGAUAACGUAGGGAAACUUACGCUAAUACCGCAUACGACCUACGGGUGAAAGCAGGGGAUCUUCGGACCUUGCGCGAUUGAAUGAGCCGAUGUCUGAUUAGCUAGUUGGCGGGGUAAAGGCCCACCAAGGCGACGAUCCGUAGCUGGUCUGAGAGGAUGAUCAGCCACACUGGAACUGAGACACGGUCCAGACUCCUACGGGAGGCAGCAGUGGGGAAUAUUGGACAAUGGGCGCAAGCCUGAUCCAGCCAUACCGCGUGGGUGAAGAAGGCCUUCGGGUUGUAAAGCCCUUUUGUUGGGAAAGAAAAGCAGCAGGUUAAUACCCCGCUGUUCUGACGGUACCCAAAGAAUAAGCACCGGCUAACUUCGUG